UGACAAAAGCCAAAAUAAACAAUGGACACAAUGUAUAGACCAGAGAACACAAAGAUCGGAUUACGUUGGAACCAAAGAAGACACAGGCCUGCAAAAUUUGUCGGUAGAACACACACAGAUGAGAAUCAUAAUUUGCAUUUGUUAAUCAUAUAGUAUAUGAUACUAUAAUAAUAAUACUAAUGUUUUGAUAUAUAAAAGAAUGAGAUUAUGUGUUACCGUUCGGUUUCCAGGAUUGGCCACCGUUUAGUUCAGAUGCAAUGCAUUUACACGUUGAUGUCGAAGUUUUGAUUGAUUCUUCUCCUCACAAUUUCACAUUAUUAAAUUUUGCAUUUGGACUUUCAGGCGAAUGGACCAAUACGACUUACUUGCUCUUCACAGAAAUGUUGUACUCUUACUAUUUUUUUUCUUCUUUAAUACGUAUGAAAAUUUUAUAUCAAAACCUGUCGGACGGAGUACCGGCAACUUAUUCAAGUUUUCUGAAAAUAUUUACUAAAUAGAAUUUUGCACAAAUUCAAGAAGUGUUAACAUAUUCCAUUGAUAGAAAACUUUGUGAUCUAUAUUUUGUUUAAGGAUUUUUCAAUGAUUUUUGAUUUUUUUAAAUGUU
rnacentral:lncRNA from 1 species